GCUAUAUCGGCACCAAGACCGUC
rnacentral:siRNA from 1 species